GACAGAGGGUGCAAACGUUGCUCGGAAUUACUGGGCGUAAAGCGCGUGUAGGCGGACUGGUGUGUCGGAUGUGAAAUCCCCAGGCUCAACCUGGGAACUGCAUUCGAAACUGCCAGCCUUGAGUGGUGGAGAGGGAAGUGGAAUUCCUGGUGUAGAGGUGAAAUUCGUAGAUAUCAGGAGGAACACCAGUGGCGAAGGCGGCUUUCUGGUCUGUAACUGACGCUGAGGCGCGAAAGCGUGGGGAGCAAACAGG
rnacentral:rRNA from 1 species